CUUAGAUACUUUUCUUUAAAGGCAAUUGGGUUACUCUCUGGAUAAUAUCAGCACUCUGCAUUUCUUCACAUAAAAGUACCAAAUGAAUGAGAAGAGAGAAAGCUGUCUCACAUACAACAUGAAUGUGCUUUUCAAGAAAGGGAGGUCAACAUUACUUACACGGGGGUUCCAAGAUGGCCGAAUAGGAACAGCUCCAGUCUACAGCUUCCAGCAUGAGUGACACAGAAGAUGGGUGAUUUCUGCAUUUCCAACUGAGGUAC
rnacentral:lncRNA from 1 species